CGACGAAUGGCUCUCCUACUAGCCCUGUCACUCUCGGGAUGCACAAUUAAUUGACGGCUAAACAACCUGGUGCAUCUCUUGGUGUUGCGUGGUGCACUAAUUAUGCACUCUGCCCACUAACUACGCAUAUGAUUACAAGACGUCAUCUCAUUUUUGGCAAUCUGGUACUCGACUAGCUGAGCAUCUGUCAUAGGCAAUCAGCGAUGACUCUGUCCUUUUGCAGAUGAAUCUACAUGUGAAUGGUCGUCAACCAUUGCUAGUAGGAAGUAUUUUUUUAAUAUUGCCAAACAAAUUGAGAGAAGUGCGCCAGACUAAGCCCCAGCCAAACACAAAUAUUUUAGUGUUGUCACCAAUUGAAAUAAAAUCAGUUUUGGAUCACUCAAAAUAA